rnacentral:rRNA from 1 species
UAAGCGUGCGCAGGCGGUUUUGUAAGUCUGUCGUGAAAGCCCCGGGCUUAACCUGGGAAUUGCGAUGGAGACUGCAAGGCUUGAAUCUGGCAGAGGGGGGUAGAAUUCCACGUGUAGCAGUGAAAUGCGUAGAGAUGUGGAGGAACACCGAUGGCGAAGGCAGCCCCCUGGGUCAAGAUUGACGCUCAUGCACGAAAGCGUGGGGAGCAAACAGGAUUAGAUACCCUAGU